rnacentral:pre_miRNA from 1 species
GGUUAUGCCUGGCUCCCUGUAUGCCACAAGCUAGAGUUCAAUCCCAUCAGUGGACUGGCUGUCGCCGGUGGCGUGCGAGGAGCCAAGCAUACUCUC